rnacentral:rRNA from 1 species
UACGAGGGGGGCGAGCGUUGUUCGGAAUUAUUGGGCGUAAAGGGCGCGUAGGCGGUGCGGUAAGUCACCUGUGAAAUCUCCUGGCUCAACUGGGAGCUUGCAGGCGAAACUGCCGUGCUGGAGUGUGGGAGAGGUGCGUGGAAUUCCUGGUGUAGCGGUGAAAUGCGUAGAUAUCAGGAAGAACACCCGUGGCGAAGGCGGCUCUCUGGGACGGUACUGACGCUGAGACGCGAAAGCGUGGGGAGCGAACAGG